ensembl:lncRNA
CAGCAUACCAGGGCGAUAACACACACCGUAUCAAUCACACACUCACUCUCUCUCUCUCUCUCACACACACACACACACACACACACACACACACACACCUCACUUUCCACAGAGCUUAGAAGGUUAGCACCGUUAAUAAGAACUCUAACGGGAGGCGGGGGAAGUCAGGCUAACCCAAAUGUGUUCAAACAGGUCUGUGACACACACACACACACACACACACACACACACACACACACACACACACACACACACCCUUCUAAUGAAGAUCCUUGCUGGAGGAUAUGAAUAUAUGUUAGUGUUGGUGCUGCUGGUUUGGCUGGCCUAGCGAAGAGUGGGUUCUGAUUGGCUGGCCUAGUGAAGAGUGGGUUCUGAUUGGCUGGGCUAGUGAAGAGUGGGUUCUGAUUGGCAGGGCUAGUGAAGAGUGGGUUCUGAUUGGCAGGGCUAGUGAAGAGUGGGUUCUGAUUGGCAGGCCUAGUGAAGAGGGGGUUCUGAUUGGCAGGCCUAGCGAAGAGUGGGUUCUGAUUGGCUGGCCUAGUGAAGAGUGGGUUCUGAUUGGCUGGCCUAGUGAAGAGUGGGUUCUGAUUGGCAGGGCUAGUAAAGAAUGGUUAAAGCUGUAGGUGAGUGUGAGGUGUGUCCAGAGUUGUGAGGUUUGUGUAGAGUUGUGAUGUUUGUGUAGAGUUGUGAUGUUUGUGUGUGUUUUACCCUUAAAGCUGUAGGUGAGUGUGAUGUUUGUGUAAAGUUGUGAUGUUUGAGUGUGUUUUACUCUUAAAGCUGUUGGCGUGUGUGAGGUUUGUGUAGAGUUAGGAUGUUUGUGUGUUUUAUCCUUAAAGCUGUAGGCGUGUGUGAUGUUUGUGUAAAGUUGUGAUGUUUGUGUGUUUUAUCCUUAAAGCUGUAGGCGAGUGUGAGGUUUGUGUAGAGUUGUGAUGUUUGUGUGUUUUAUCCUUAAAGCUGAAGGUGAGUGUGAGGUUUGUGUAGAGUUGGGAUGUUUGUGUGUUUUAUCCUUAAAGCCUUAGGCGUGUGUGAUGUUUGUGUAAAGUUGUGAUGUUUGUGUGUUUUAUCCUUAAAGCUGAAGGUGAGUGUGAGGUUUGUGUAAAGUUGUGAUGUUUGUGUGUUUUAUCCUUAAAGCUGAAGGUGAGUGUGAGGUUUGUGUAAAGUUGUGAUGUUUGUGUGACUCCACCAUUAA